rnacentral:rRNA from 1 species
UAACACGUGAGCAACCUGCCCUAUACAACGGGAUAACACAGAGAAAUUUGUGCUAAUACGGUAUAAGACCACAGUAUCGCAUGAUACAGGGGUAAAAGAUUUAUCGGUAUAGGAUGGGCUCGCGACCCAUUAGCUAGUUGGUGAGGUAACGGCCCACCAAGGCAACGAUGGGUAGCCGACCUGAGAGGGUGAUCGGCCACACUGGGACUGAGACACGGCCCAGACUCCUACGGGAGGCAGCAGUGGGGAAUAUUGGGCAAUGGAGGCAACUCUUACCCAGCAAUGCCGCGUGAAUGAAGAAGGUCUUCGGAUUGUAAAGUUCUUUAAUUGGGGACGAAAAAAAUGACGGUACCCAAGGAAUAAGCCCCGGCUAACUACGUGCCAGCAGCCGCGGUAAUACGUAGGGGGCAAGCGUUGUUCGGAAUGACUGGGCGUAAAGGGUGUGUAGGCGGUGUAGCAAGUUAGAAGUGAAAUACCUAGAGCUUAACUCAGGUGCUGCUUCUAAAACUGCUAUACUUGAGUGCAGUAGAGGAAAGUGGAAUCCUAGUGUAGCGGUGGAAUGCGUAGAUAUUAGGAGGAACAUCAGUGGCGAAGGCGACUUUCUGGACUGUAACUGACGCUGAGGCACGAAAGUGUGGGGAGCAAACAGGAUUAGAUACCCUGGUAGUCCACACUGUAAACGAUGGAUACUAGGUGU